rnacentral:lncRNA from 1 species
GUUCCUAAUUAUACAUAUAUCUGAGACUAGAAGUGACAACAAAAUACAAAAUGUUAAAAUGCAAAAAUGGCCACUUCUAUCAUUAUGUAAAAGGAAUCAUCAGAGUGUGGGACAAGUGUAACACCCCGCUCACCACUACGCUAAAUUGUAUUUGAAGGACCCCUAUUUAUUCGGGCCUUAAGGUCACCUUAACUCAUUUAGAUUUAUUUCGCAACCUUAUAUCGUAAUUCAUAAUUUUAAUUUUAUGC